CGUAGCCGCGGUAAUACAGAGGGUGCGAGCGUUAAUCGGAUUUACUGGGCGUAAAGCGUGCGUAGGCGGCUUUUUAAGUCGGAUGUGAAAUCCCUGAGCUUAACUUAGGAAUUGCAUUCGAUACUGGGAAGCUAGAGUAUGGGAGAGGAUGGUAGAAUUCCAGGUGUAGCGGUGAAAUGCGUAGAGAUCUGGAGGAAUACCGAUGGCGAAGGCAGCCAUCUGGCCUAAUACUGACGCUGAGGUACGAAAGCAUGGGGAGCAAACAGGAUUAGAUACCCCAGUAGUCCCUGUCUCUUAUACA
rnacentral:rRNA from 1 species